CCUACGGGAGGCAGCAGUGAGGAAUAUUGGUCAAUGGGCGGAAGCCUGAACCAGCCAAGUAGCGUGCAGGAUGACGGCCCUACGGGUUGUAAACUGCUUUUAUACGGGAAUAACGCGCCUUACGUGUAGGGCUUUGCAUGUACCGUAUGAAUAAGGACCGGCUAAUUCCGUGCCAGCAGCCGCGGUAAUACGGAAGGUCCGGGCGUUAUCCGGAUUUAUUGGGUUUAAAGGGUGCGUAGGCCGCCUGGUAAGCGUGAUGUGAAAUGUCCGGGCUCAACCCGGGCCUUGCAGCGCGUACUGGCGUGCUAGAGUCCACGGAAGGCAGGCGGAAUUCGUGGUGUAGCGGUGAAAUGCUUAGAUAUUACGAAGAACCCCGAUUGCGAAGGCAGCUUGC
rnacentral:rRNA from 1 species